GAACGCACAUUGCGCCUCUCCUCUCACGAGAGGCAUGCCUGUCUGAGCGUCAUUUAAACCAUGGACCCGACCUCGGGUUCCGUGCUGGGUCUCGCCCCCCCCUCGGGCGUCUCCUCAAAGUCAUCGGUCUACACGAGCGGACGAAAUCCUUCAGGACUGACCGUUCGUCGGACUUUAAAAAAUCUCCAGAGUUGACCUCAGAUCAGGUAGGACUACCGCCUGAACUUAAG
rnacentral:misc_RNA from 1 species